CUGCUACUUAGACUUAUUAAUGAAGUUAUAGGAUUUUGUAUAGAAUAUCAAAACAAAAAUGAUUCUAUUUCUACCAUUAUUAUGAUAAUACACAUUCCAACCUGCUUGAAUACCAGAAAAAUAAAUGGAUUCGACAUUUGAUCUUUUCACUGAGAUAAAGGCAUAAAAAUAAGAAAGAAUAUGUAGAAUUAGAAUCGGUUUUUAGCAUUUAACUCCCUUUUCUGUUAUGGAUUUCGUUGUUCAAAAAAUGAUAUGUAGAGA
rnacentral:lncRNA from 1 species